GUCUACAGCCAUACUAUCCUGAAUGCUCCCGAUCUCGUCUGAUCUCGGAAGCUAAGCAGGGUCGGGUCUGGUUAGUACUUGGAUGGGAGAAAUUUCUAUCCUGUUGAGA
ensembl:rRNA 5S_rRNA 5S ribosomal RNA